rnacentral:rRNA from 1 species
CAGUAGGGAGGAAGGUAGUGUAGUUAACACCUGCACUAUUUGACGUUACCUACAGAAGAAGCACCGGCUAACUCCGUGCCAGCAGCCGCGGUAAUACGGAGGGUGCGAGCGUUAAUCGGAAUUACUGGGCGUAAAGCGCAUGCAGGCGGCCUGUUAAGUCAGAUGUGAAAGACCCGGGGCGUUAACCUCGGAAUUGCAUUUGAAACUGGCAGGCUAGAGUCUUGUAGAGGGGGGUAGGAAUUUCAGGUGUAGCGGUGAAAUGCGUAGAGAUCUGAAGGAAUACCAGUGGCGAAGGCGGCCCCCUGGACAAAGACUGACGCUCAGAUGCGAAAGCGUGGGGAGCAAACAGGAUUAGAUACCCUGGUAG